AGAAAUAUCUCCCCUGGUUGUGUGCAGUCAGCUCUAGUUUGAAUGUAUGAGAAUAUCUUUGAGUUGGUCUUCAUCAUCACUCAGAAUCACACUACUGGGAAUGGCAGCAGUAUCCUUUGGCACAGCGAAGUCACCUCCAGAAAUAGUGGCUCACAGCUCUCCUCAGGUUAUGCCAAUAUCAUACGAUCAUCCACCAGCUGGGAUGGUUGCCUUCCCUCAUCUCUCUGGUGCCUUUUAGGUAGUCGGACCCAACUAUUUUGGAAUAAAUCAAGUGAGCAUCACCAGUUUUCCUUUGCUGAGACACCUUCCCUCUGAUGGACAAAGUUCUCUUUUACCACACUGGGGUGAUCCGUACCAGUUUGGUGCACUCCUUUAAAAAGAGCAGUGUCUGCAGUGAGCUAUUGUUUGAAUUACUAUGCAAUACAGUGGUUGUAAGAAUAAACUCUUUAAGUCAGAGAUCCUUGUGAAUAAC
rnacentral:lncRNA from 1 species